rnacentral:pre_miRNA from 1 species
AAUUUGUCCUUGGUUAAAUUGCUGUUGGUUUUUAUCUGCAAAUUUGCUGAGGACAAAAU